CCAGGGGGCCGGGCAGCCGCGUCGAAGCUUCGCUUCGCCGAGGAAAGUCCGGGCUCCACGAAACAAGGGUGGCGGGUAACGCCCGCCGGGUGUUCGGCUUGCCGGGCAUUCAGGGAAAGUGCCACAGAGAGCAUACCGCUAACCGGGAAACCGGCAGUAAGGGUGAAAGGGUGCGGUAAGAGCGCACCGCGCGACUGGCGACAGGAGCGGCAUGGCAAACCCCACCCGGAGCAAGGCCGAAUAGGGGCGGCGCGCCAAGGAUCGCAAGAUCCGGAAGCAGGGGUGUUUCGCCUUUGAUCGCCCGGGUUGGCUGCUUGAGCCUUGCGGCAACGCAAGGCCUAGAGGAAUGGCUGCCAUUGCGGAUACGGUCUCUCGUGGGAUACCGUCCGUGAUACAGAACCCGGCUUACAGGCCCCCUGGCAAA
rnacentral:RNase_P_RNA from 2 species